UAUGGUCACGGGUUGCGACACAGUGGUCGGCCAUUGGACAUUUUGUCCACCUGACAGACAGACGACUUGCUGAAGUAGAGUAUAGCUGCGCUAGCAGCCGGCACGCUGUGCCAGCUGUGCCGCGCAUACUGUCGAUGGCGUGACGUCACUGAGGCAGACGACACUUGUACCCGCAGCAGGAAAUAUCAUCGCCACAGCGGUAACACAUGUUACCUGUCGAGUGGAAUCAACGAGGGACGAAAACGCCGAAGUAUCUAAACAGCUUCUCUACACACACGUGAACGAUAGGAACAGUCUUCUCCUGUUCAAGCUACAGGUGCCAGAUUCUGCACGAAGACUAUCUAUGGGAGAGGUGCGGUACGAACCUGUCGCCAGACGAACAGAUCGGUCCUGGAUGGGCUAGCAGGGGCCCUAGCAGACCCACGGACAAAUGCCCCGAACAGGUCGUAUGACGGAUUUAUAUAUUUUCUGUUGUGUUGCACCGCCUAUACACCCCACUAGAUAGGACCUUCAUGAUGUUUAGGGCCUUAUUGCACCUCUGUCUGAGAUAUUUUAUAUGGGGUACGAAAGCUAGAUAAUCCUCGAUAAAAGCCACUCCACGUUUAAAAAAAAACCCUGAAACGCAGACGUGCGUUGAAAUAUCCAUGCCCGAAUUUUGAUAUGCAAAUGAGCCGAAACCGCGGCGACCCUGAGCGCAGCGCUGAUUUCACGUCAGAGGGUCACGCUGUUUUGGAACGACGGAGAUGAGAUUGGAGUAGGUGUUGAUACGCUGGCCAGGUCAACCGCUAUCGGGCCAGAUCAUCCCACCUCCUCCGUCGCGAAGACGAUGCGCUCUCGAGGCGCGUUGUUUAGGUUUCGGCUCAUUUGUAUAUCGAAAUUAGGCGAUGGAUAUUUCAUGGCACGAUGCUCCUUUCAGGAUUUUUAAAAUAUAGAAUGGAUUUCAACUAGGAUCGUCUCCCAUUCUGCUAUCUCACUUUUGCACGAAAUUCCGUUGAUAGAGAGUUCACUAUUGAAUUUUAUGCAAUGAGCCAUCUUGUACAUACAUACUCCCUUGGAGAGGAUGUCCGUUUAGCCGUAUACCUCAACUUCAAAACCGAUGAAGAUGAUGAUGACGAUUGAAUUUUAUUGGCGCAAAAGGAACGCAGUCUAGAGUGCGUGAAAACAAUGAUAAAAUUGUGGCUGAAAAUCAGACGAUUAUACUAAAAUAAUAUACUUGGUAAACUGAGUGUUACGUGGGGGCAGCUGCGUGGGAGUUGUUUCAGCCUCCUUUGUUCGUCCCCGCUACCAUGCCAGGACCUCGGUGUCAAGUUGCGAAGGCGAGUUCCUGAAACUGAGCCCUCCUGUGGUGUUGAAACGACCAAUGGGACUAACGCGUGUCCAAGACGGAGGUCGUCAGAAUGCUGGGCUCGGGUCCGAUGUCAACAAAAAGGGGAGACAUCGGAGAAAACAGGGUCUUCCUUCCCUCUGACUGGACUCUGGCCGUUCACCCAUGUAUUCUCGCAAUUAAACAGUUAUCUGUUUUCUUUUAACCCUGUUUCGGCUCGCUGGUUAUCCCUUUGGGUCCAAAUCACGCUACCACGGAGGACCCUUGCGACAUGAGAUAAAAACAAAGACAUAAUAUGAUAAAAUAUGCAUAU